AAACUUUCAACAACGGAUCUCUUGGUUCUCGCAUCGAUGAAGAACGCAGCGAAAUGCGAUAAGUAAUGUGAAUUGCAGAAUUCAGUGAAUCAUCGAAUCUUUGAACGCAAAUUGCACUCUUUGGUAUUCCGAAGAGUAUGCCUGUUUGAGUGUCAUGAAAACCU
rnacentral:rRNA from 1 species